GAUGAACGCUGGCGGCGUGCCUAAUACAUGCAAGUAGAACGCUGAAGGAAGGAGCUUGCUCUUUCCGGAUGAGUUGCGAACGGGUGAGUAACGCGUAGGUAACCUGCCUGGUAGCGGGGGAUAACUAUUGGAAACGAUAGCUAAUACCGCAUAACAGUAGAUAUUGCAUGAUAUCUGCUUGAAAGGGGCAAUUGCUCCACUACCAGAUGGACCUGCGUUGUAUUAGCUAGUUGGUGAGGUAACGGCUCACCAAGGCGACGAUACAUAGCCGACCUGAGAGGGUGAUCGGCCACACUGGGACUGAGACACGGCCCAGACUCCUACGGGAGGCAGCAGUAGGGAAUCUUCGGCAAUGGACGGAAGUCCGACCGAGCAACGCCGCGUGAGUGAAGAAGGUUUUCGGAUCGUAAAGCUCUGUUGUAAGAGAAGAACGAGUGUGAGAGUGGAAAGUUCACACUGUGACGGAACUACCAGAAAGG
rnacentral:rRNA from 1 species